rnacentral:rRNA from 1 species
GACGUAGGGCGCGAGCGUUGUCCGGAUUUAUUGGGCGUAAAGAGCUCGUAGGCGGCUUGUCGCGUCGUCCGUGAAAACUUGGGGGCUCAACCCCAAGCUUGCGGUCGAUACGGGCAGGCUAGAGUUCGGUAGGGGAGACUGGAAUUCCUGGUGUAGCGGUGAAAUGCGCAGAUAUCAGGAAGAACACCCGUGGCGAAAGCGGCUUCCUGGUCCAGCACCGACGUUCAGGCACGAAAGCGUGGGGAGCAAACAGG